rnacentral:rRNA from 1 species
AUGGAUCAUUGCAACUUCUUAGUUUGGAAUGUCAAAGGCCUAAAUUCGCCAGCGAGGAGGACCGCUGUUCGGUCGCUCAUUCGUAUGCAUGCUGUCAGUGUGGUCUGUCUACAAGAGACCAAGUUAUCAAGUGUUGAUUCUGCUGUAGUAUCUGAGAUUUGUGGUGCCACCUUCUCUGAAUUUGCCUUCUCACCGUCUGAUGGUGCUAGUGGGGGCCUUCUAGUUGCUUGGUCUGAUGUUGUUGCUGUCACCUCUGUACAAUGCUCAACAAAUUUCAUUUCCCUGAAGUGCUCAAAUAAGAUUACUAGUGAUUCUUGGCACCUGAUUAAUGUGUAUGGACCGCAGCCUUCCAAAGAGAAGAUUUCUUUCCUGAAUGACUUACAACUGUUGUGCAUGAACUCCCCUGACCCUCUGAUUUUAGUGGGCGAUUUCAACUUGAUUGUUGCUGCAGCUGACAAAAGCACUGGUAAUAUCAAUAGAGGGUUGAUUAACGCAUUCAGAAACUUUAUGAACCGAUUGGAGCUCAAGGACAUGUACUUGCAUGGUAGAAGGUAUACUUGGAGUAAUGAGUAA